UACGUAGGUGACAAGCGUUGUCCGGAUUUACUGGGCGUAAAGAGCGUGUAGGCGGCCCGGUAAGUCCGCUGUGAAAGUCGGGGGCUCAACCCUCGAAUGCCGGUGGAUACUGUCGGGCUAGAGUGCGGAAGAGGCGAGUGGAAUUCCUGGUGUAGCGGUGAAAUGCGCAGAUAUCAGGAGGAACACCAAUUGCGAAGGCAGCUCGCUGGGACGUAACUGACGCUGAGACGCGAAAGCGUGGGGAGCAAACAGG
rnacentral:rRNA from 1 species